UUCAGCCAUAUGAUCAAAUGACCUUCAAAUUAUUCAGGAGAACCAAAUAGUUAUUAUUUAUUAUCAAGAUAUUUGAUGUUUAACACAGAUUCUUCUGUGAGUUAUUGAUUAUUGAUGUGAUUGUCAGGUAUCAGUCCCCCUAAAGUGAGCGUCCUGCCGCCGUCCAGUGAAGAGAUUUCCACAAAGCAAGCAGCAACACUGAUGUGUGUGGCCAACAAGGGCUUCCCCUCAGACUGGAGUCUGAACUGGAAGGUGGACGGGAUCAGCAGCAGGUCUCAGUACAGCAGUGUUGCUCUCCUGGAGAAGGACGGUCUGUACAGCUGGAGCAGCAGUCUGACUCUCUCUGAGCAGGAGUGGAGCUCAGUGAUCUCAGUCAGCUGUGAGCUCACACAGAAAGACCAGCGUGAUAAAGUCACUGGAGAAUUGAGGAGAGAUCAGUGUUCACAGUAGAUCCACUCACUCUCUCCUCUGUCUCACAUCAAGACUAACAGACUAACUGUGUUUC